AUUGAACGCUGGCGGCAUGCCUUACACAUGCAAGUCGAACGGCAGCGGGGGAGAAGCUUGCUUUUCCUGCCGGCGAGUGGCGAACGGGUGAGUAAUACAUCAGAACGUGCCCUGUAGUGGGGGAUAACUAGUCGAAAGAUUAGCUAAUACCGCAUACGACCUGAGGGUGAAAGUGGGGGACCGCAAGGCCUCAUGCUAUAGGAGCGGCCGAUGUCUGAUUAGCUAGUUGGUGGGGUAAAGGCCUACCAAGGCGACGAUCAGUAGCUGGUCUGAGAGGACGAUCAGCCACACUGGGACUGAGACACGGCCCAGACUCCUACGGGAGGCAGCAGUGGGGAAUUUUGGACAAUGGGCGAAAGCCUGAUCCAGCAAUGCCUCGUGUGUGAAGAAGGCCUUCGGGUUGUAAAGCACUUUUGUCCGGAAAGAAAUGGCUCUGGUUAAUACCUGGGGUCGAUGACGGUACCGGAAGAAUAAGGAUCGGCUAACUACGUGCCAGCCGCCGCUGUAA
rnacentral:rRNA from 1 species